AUAGUGACAAAAGAGCGAAUUAAAGAUGGGUGAUGUUGAAAAAGGCAAGAAGAUUUUUGUUCAGAAGUGUGCCCAGUGCCACACAGUGGAAAAGGGAGGCAAGCACAAGACUGGGCCAAAUCUCCAUGGUCUGUUUGGGCACAAGACAGGUCAGGCCCCUGGGUUUUCUUACACAGAUGCCAACAAGAACAAAGGUAUCACCUGGGGAGAGGAUACACUGAUGGAGUAUUUGGAGAAUCCCAAAAAGUACAUCCCUGUAACAAAAAUGAUCUUUGCUGGCAUUAAGAAGAAGGGAGAAAGGGCAGACUUGAUAGCUUAUCUCAAAAAGGCUACCAAUGAGUAAUACCCACUGCCUUAUUUAUUACAAAACAGAAAUGUCACAUGGCUUUUUAUGUGUACCAUA